rnacentral:rRNA from 1 species
AUUGAACGCUGGCGGCAUGCUUUACACAUGCAAGUCGAACGGUAACAGGCCUUCGGGUGCUGACGAGUGGCGAACGGGUGAGUAAUGCAUCGGAACGUACCCAGAGGUGGGGGAUAACGCAGCGAAAGCUGUGCUAAUACCGCAUGUGAUCUGAGGAUGAAAGCGGGGGACCGAGCAGCAAUGUUUGGCCUCGCGCCUUUGUAGCUGCCGAUGUCGGAUUAGCUAGUUGGUGGGGUAAAGGCCUACCAAGGCGACGAUCCGUAGCUGGUCUGAGAGGACGACCAGCCACACUGGGACUGAGACACGGCCCAGACUCCUACGGGAGGCAGCAGUGGGGAAUUUUGGACAAUGGGCGCAAGCCUGAUCCAGCAAUGCCGCGUGCGGGAAGAAGGCCUUCGGGUUGUAAACCGCUUUUGGCAGGAACGAAACGGUGUCCGCUAAUACCGGGCGCUAAUGACGGUACCUGCAGAAUAAGCACCGGCUAACUACGUG